AAAUUAAUUAGUAAAUACGAACCAAUUAUUUACAUGCCCACGGAAUCAGAAUUGCAAGAAAAACUAUUAGAGGAACUGCAAAAUAUUUUCGCAAAAAAUGGAGUUAGUAUAUGUACUUACAAUCUUCCAGAAAUCUCAUCAAACUAUACACCAAAUGACAAUAAUCAACUUAUUCAAGAAGAAUUAAACUAUGAUCAACAAUCUUUAGAAAUCGAAGCAACCAAAUUAUAUUCCCAAUUGAAUAUUGAUCAAAAAAAUGCUUUCCAUGAGAUCAUAAAUAGUGUUGUAAAUGGAAAAUCAAAUUUUUUCUUUGUAUCCGGUCAUGGAGGAACUGGCAAAACAUUUCUAUGGAACUGUAUUAUAUCGUUUCUAAGAGCACGAAGAAAAAUAGUUUUGACAGUUGCAUCAUCAGGAGUAGCUUCACUAUUACUUCCAAAUGGACGUACA
rnacentral:misc_RNA from 1 species